CGCUUGCAUAUUGAAAACUCAAAUAGGAUCCUUCCGGACCAAGACAGCAGCAAACUCAAGGUGACAAAUGUCCUAGGUCCAAGUAGCGUCUAGCAGUCUAUCGUUACAAGUGCAUAUGUACCUGAUAUCUUUACUCCAAGAAAGAAUACAUGCAAUUAAAACUCGAUUGACUUAAUUAAUAUUUUUACCACACAUUCAAUCGAGUUGAUUUUGUCACCUAAUUCUCCAAAAUAGUACAUUCUGAGGUUUAAUUUCAUUGGGUAUGAUGAAAAAGGAGAAGGAAAUUUAAUUUACACCUUUACAAUAAACUACAAUUGACUAAUUCCAUUUUUAGGAUUAGGUUUGCCUGUUGGACGCCUCUGGAAAGGUCGAAUAGGGGGAUUUCAUAACCUCAUAUAUGACUUUGAACUGUCCUUUAGAGGCAUCUUUGCAUGAUAAAAUGCAAUCAAUUUAGAACAAACAAAAAAAUGAUAAAAAAGUAAAUUGUGUGGAAUAAAGCAGUAAAAUAGAAGAAUUUAGCUCAUUUUGGACAUAUUAGGUAGUUCGCAGUUAAAACUACUUAGUAAGUUUUUAUGUGUAUUCGAGUCUAAGAGUUGUAAAUUGCAAUUCUAGCAUAAUGUUAUGUUAAGAAUUUAUAAUUUCGUAUGUCAAUUUUAUUUUUCUCUUUCAAGUGUUUCUAAUGUUAGAAUGAAAAUACUUUUUAAAUCUAUAGAUCUGUAAAAACUAAACACAAA
rnacentral:lncRNA from 1 species